CAGAUUUGUUAAUCCUGUUCUACUUUUUAAAUCGACGACAGCUUCUUUGACUCCUCCAAGAACGCACACCAGGUGUUCGAUCAUUUGCUAACCAUACAAAUAUAUUUCUGGCAGCAUCCCCAACUUAACCUUCAGAGUUUGAAUUACAGGUUAUACACAACUUUUUCAAAUACACAAGUAUCACCAAACAUCCAAUGACAAAUUAUGAUAAUUUAUUCAUCAAAGACUGAAGUUAGAGAAGCGCAUCAAGGCAGAGGACUGAGCAAAAUAGAAGGAUGAACAGAUCUUUAAUUUUAAGUUUUGGUCAUUGAAUCUUAUUUCAAAGCAAGUUUCUUGAGGUGCUGGAACAUCCGCUGUUUAAUCCAAUGUCGAUCGUAGGGAAGAAAAACAUGAAUAGAUUGAUCAAAGCUUUAAUUUGGACAGAAUAAGAUGGAUCAGUUUAUCAAAAAUAAUAUAGAGUGAUGCCUUGUGUGAGUAUAAAUGAUGUUUGAAAUAGUUAUGAGGGAGCUAAAAAUUAAUUUA